rnacentral:rRNA from 1 species
CUACGGGACGCAGCAGUGAGGAAUAUUGGUCAAUGGGCGCAAGCCUGAACCAGCCAAGUAGCGUGAAGGAUGACUGCCCUCUGGGUUGUAAACUUCUUUUAUAGGGGAAUAAAGUGCGCCACGUGUGGCGUUUUGUAUGUACCCUACGAAUAAGGACCGGCUAACUCCGUGCCAGCAGCCGCGGUAAUACGGAGGGUCCGAGCGUUAUCCGGAUUUAUUGGGUUUAAAGGGUGCGCAGGCGGGAUGAUAAGUCAGUUGUGAAAGUUGGACGCUCAACGUUCAAAUUGCAAUUGAAACUGUCAUUCUUGAGUGCAGUGGAGGUAAGUGGAAUUCGUGGUGUAGCGGUGAAAUGCUUAGAUAUCACGAAGAACUCCGAUUGCGAAGGCAACUUGCUAUACUGCAACUGACGCUCAUGCACGAAGGUGUGGGUAUCAAACAGGAUUAGAUACCCUAGUAGUC